UUUUUUUUUUGAGACACAGUCACACUCUGUCACCCAGGCUGGAGUGCAGUAGCGCGAUCUCGGCUCACUACAACCUCCGCCUCCUGGGUUCAAGCGAUUCUAGAGGCAGAGUUACCUGGGACUUGGCUUUGUCUUGUCUGACUGGACGGGCUGCAGCCGUCUUGCAGCCAUCAAGGGAGCAGCCGGAGGAAGAACAGCAGUUUACAAAGAUGACAUCCUUGAGCUACUGAAUUACUGUAUUACUGGAUUCUUUUUUCUUCGAGACGGAGUCUUGCUCUGUUGCCCAGGCUGUAGUGCAGUGGCGUGAUCUUGGCUCACUGUAAGCUCCACCUCCCGGGUUCACACCAUUCUCCUGCCUCAGCCUCCCAAGUAGCUGGGACUAUAGGUGGCCGCCACCACGCGCGGCUGAUUUUUUCUAUUUUUUUUU
rnacentral:lncRNA from 1 species